rnacentral:rRNA from 1 species
UUUACAUGGCGAGACCGCGGACGGCUCAUUAAAUCAGUCGUGGUCCAUAUGGGCUAGAGUUUAUCUUACUUGGAUAACUGUGGUAAUUCCAGAGCUAAUACAUGCAACCUAUAUCCUGACGACGUGGGGGCGCUUGCGUCUCCGCACUGACGGAUGCUUUUAUUAGACCAAACCGCUGAGUGCGUGGCUCGCGCCACGUAUGACUCGUUUAAUGGUGACUCUGAAUAACCUUUCUGACAAGCGAACGUACCCCUCGUUGGGACGGCGCUGCCACUUUCGAGUGUCUGCCUUAUCAGCUAUCAACCGUUCGUUAUGUGCGACCGAUGGCUUUGACGGGUAACGGGGAAUCAGAGUUCGAUUCCGGAGAGGCAGCCUGAGAGACGGCUACCACGUCCAAGGACGGCAGCAGGCACGCAAAUUACCCAAUCCCAGCUCCUGGGGGAGGUAGUGACGAAAUCUAACGAUGCGGGCGCCCUUUCUGGGGCCCCGCAAUCGGAAUGGCCACUUUCUAAACAACCUGUUGAGAACCUACUGAAGGGCAAGUCUGGUGCCAGCAGCCGCGGUAAUUCCAGCUUCAGUAGCAUCUAUUAAAGUUGCUGCGGUUAAAAGGCUCGCAGUUGAAUGUCAGUAUCGAGCGCAGGUCAAACCUCUCGCACGUUAAGCUCCAUCGGUUCUAUGGUCACCUUGAGUAAAUCAGAGUGCUCAAAGCAGUCGUAGGGGCCUUGUGCCCUGUGAACAGUCUUGACGGACUGACUUGGUUUUGCAUGGCAUGUCGGAAGACGACGUCUAGCGCUGGCUCAGAGAUAUGUAUCAGUGGUGUAAGCCAGCCUAGACGUACUGAUUAAAAGGGACAGUCGAGGGCAUUGGUAUUGCGAGGCGAGAGGUGAAAUUCUAUGACCCCCGCAAGACCUCCUGAAGCGAAAGCGUCUGCCAAGGAUGUUUUCAUUAAUCAUGAACGAAAGUUAGAGGAUCGAAGGCGAUCAGAUACCGCCCUAGUUCUAACCCUAAACGAUGCCAACCAUCAAUCCGCGCGUAGCACCCUUCUUAACGGGCUCGGCGGGCAGCUCCUCACUCACGGGAAACCAGAGUCUCUGGGUUCCGGGGGGAGUCUGGUUGCAAAGCUGAAACUUAAAGGAAUUGACGGAAAGGCACCACCAGGCGUGGAGCCUGCGGCUUAAUUUGACUCAACACGGGCCAUCUCACCAGGCCAGCACUCUUGUACGAUUGACAGAUUGAGAGCUCUUUCUCGAUUUAGUGGAUGGUGGUGCAUGGCCGUUCUUAGUUGGUGGAGUGAUCUGUCUGGUUAAUUCCGAUAACGAACGAGACUCUCCCCUGCUAACUAGUCGGUUGGAUCUUGAUAUUUGUAUCGGUUGAGUCGUGUACCGAGACAACCCGAUGUGUUGUGCGUGCUGUGUUUUCUUGUCGAGGUUGUGGUGGUGGUGGCGGUGGUUCUCUUAACGGGGUUCUUCUUAGCUGCUGUUGCUGCUCCUAGGCGGUGGCCACGCGUGUGAUCUUCGGGCCUCGGACCACACACUCCAAGUCCGCCGCUUAUGCUUAAAACUCUUCUUAGAGGGAUUCACGGUACUGAAGCCGUAAGAGACUGAGAGCAAUAACAGGUCUGUGAUGCCCUUAGAUGUUCUGGGCCGCACGCGCGCUACAAUGCCGGGCACAGCAGGUGUUUUUCCUACUCCGACAGGAGCGGGUAACCCUGUGAAAGCCCUUUCUUAUGGUUUCAAGUUGGUGUGGCUCACGCCACCCAACGUUUGGCGUGAUUGGGCCUGGGUCUUGCAAUUCUUUCCCACAAACGAGGAAUGCCUUGUAGCGGCGGGUCACUGAGCCCGCCGUGACUCAGUCCCUGCCCUUUGUACACACCGCCCGUCGCUACUACCGAUUGGGUGUACCAGUGAGAGCCUUGGACUGGCGUCCGUUGCCCUAACUUUGUCUG